GCAAAGUCGAGCGGGCAUCCUUGUGGUGUCAGCGGCAGACGGGUGAGUAACGCGUGGGAACGUGCCCUUCGGUUCGGAAUAACUCAGGGAAACUUGAGCUAAUACCGGAUACGUGCGAGAGCAGAAAGGUUUACUGCCGAAGGAUCGGCCCGCGUCUGAUUAGCUAGUUGGUGAGGUUAUGGCUCACCAAGGCGACGAUCAGUAGCUGGUCUGAGAGGAUGAUCAGCCACACUGGGACUGAGACACGGCCCAGACUCCUACGGGAGGCAGCAGUGGGGAAUAUUGGACAAUGGGGGCAACCCUGAUCCAGCCAUGCCGCGUGAGUGAUGACGGCCUUAGGGUUGUAAAGCUCUUUUCUCCGGGACGAUAAUGACGGUACCGGAGGAAUAAGCCCCGGCUAACUUCGUGCCAGCAGCCGCGGUAAUACGAAGGGGGCUAGCGUUGCUCGGAAUCACUGGGCGUAAAGGGCGCGUAGGCGGCUGAUUUAGUCGAGGGUGAAAGCCCGUGGCUCAACCACGGAAUGGCCUUCGAUACUGAUUGGCUUGAGACCGGAAGAGGACAGCGGAACUGCGAGUGUAGAGGUGAAAUUCGUAGAUAUUCGCAAGAACACCAGUGGCGGAGGCGGCUGUCUGGUCCGGUUCUGACGCUGAGGCNCGAAAGCGUGGGGAGCANACAGGAUUAUAUACCCUGGUCUUCCCGCUGUAAACGAUGAAUGAUCGCCGCUGGGGUGCAUGUGCCUC
rnacentral:rRNA from 1 species